GAGGAAUAUUGGUCAAUGGGCGAGAGCCUGAACCAGCCAAGUCGCGUGAAGGAUGACUGUCUUAUGGAUUGUAAACUUCUUUUAUACGGGAAUAACAAGAGUCACGUGUGACUCCCUGCAUGUACCGUAUGAAUAAGCAUCGGCUAACUCCGUGCCAGCAGCCGCGGUAAUACGGAGGAUGCGAGCGUUAUCCGGAUUUAUUGGGUUUAAAGGGUGCGUAGGCGGCCUGUUAAGUCAGCGGUGAAAUCUAGGAGCUUAACUCCUAAAUUGCCAUUGAUACUGGCGGGCUUGAGUGUAGAUGAGGUAGGCGGAAUGCGUGGUGUAGCGGUGGAAUGCAUAGAUAUCACGCAGAACUCCGGUUGCGAAGGCAGCUUACUAAGGUACAACCGACGCUGAAGCACGAAAGCGUGGGUAUCAAACAGGAUUAGAUACCCUGGUAGUCCACGCAGUAAACGAUGAUAACUGGGCGUAUGCGAUAUACAGUAUGCUCCUAAGCGAAAGCGUUAAGUUAUCCACCUGGGGAGUACGCCGGCAACGGUG
rnacentral:rRNA from 1 species